UACGGGGGGGGCAAGCGUUGUUCGGAAUUACUGGGCGUAAAGGGCUCGUAGGCGGCCAACUAAGUCGGAUGUGAAAUCCCCAGGCUUAACCUGGGAAUUGCAUCCGAUACUGGAUGGCUUGAAUCCGGGAGAGGGAUGCGGAAUUCCAGGUGUAGCGGUGAAAUGCGUAGAUAUCUGGAGGAACACCGGUGGCGAAGGCGGCAUCCUGGACCGGCAUUGACGCUGAGGAGCGAAAGCGUGGGGAGCAAACAGG
rnacentral:rRNA from 1 species